GGGUCAGUAGGUUGGUCGUGCCACCGGUACGUACUGGUCUCACUGAUUCCUCCUUCCUGAAGAACCGUAAUGCCAUUAAUUUGGUGUGGCGGGGAAACAGGACUGUUACUUUGAAAAAAUUAGAGUGUUUAAAGCAAGCUAACGCUUGAAUACGUUAGCAUGGAAUAAUGAAAUAGGACGAUCGAUCCUAUUUUGUUGGUUUCUAGGAUUGACGUA
rnacentral:rRNA from 1 species